GUCUACGACCAUACCACCCGGAAAACACCGGUUGUCGUCUGAUCACCGAAGUUAAGCCUGGUCGGACGAAGUUAGUACUUGGAUGGGUGACCGCCUGGGAACACUUCGUGUUGUAGACU
rnacentral:rRNA from 1 species